CCCUUGCUGCGUGUUCAUGUGUCACGCGGGACUGCCGGUCUUAAGCCGGAGGAAGGUGGGGAUGAAGUCAAGUCAGCAUGGCCUUUAUAUCCUGGGCUACACACACGCUACAAUGGCCAGUACAACAGGUUGCGAAGCCGCGAGGCGGAGCCAAUCCCUAAAGCUGGUCUCAGUUCAGAUUGCAGGCUGCAACCCGCCUGCAUGAAGUUGGAGUUGCUAGUAACUGCAGGUCAGCUAUACUCGCGGUCGAAUACGUUCCGGGCCUU
rnacentral:rRNA from 1 species